rnacentral:rRNA from 1 species
UACGUAGGGGGGCAAGCGUUGUCCGGAUUUAUUGGGCGUAAAGAGCGUGUAGGCGGCCAUACAGGUCAGCUGUGAAAACUCGAGGCUCAACCUCGAGACGUCGGUUGAAACCGUAUGGCUAGAGUCCGGAAGAGGAGAGUGGAAUUCCCCGGUGUAGCGGUGAAAUGCGCAGAUAUCGGGAAGAACACCCGUGGCGAAGGCGGCUCUCGUGGGACGGUACUGACGCUGAGACGCGAAAGCGUGGGGAGCGAACGAGG